UAGUAUUUCUUGAUUACGUGGACCUGA
rnacentral:piRNA from 1 species